UUUUCAUCUCCUAAAAGAACAAAGUAUUUUUGGGAUAUUGGUCUGGCCCUGAUAAGAGAUCAUGAAAGGUUUUUCCUUACCUUUUUGUGUUUUAUCAGAACUGUCUCCGGUGCUUUGUGUUAAAAGCUGAAACUUUUCUACUAAAGGAGCUGAAGUUUUGCAGCUAUGUAACCCUCUAUAUUCAUCUUUGAAAUCUUUUUGUCACUUUGGUUAAAUAGAUAACUAAAUAUUGUUUCAUAAUGAUCUCUGAUCCUAAUUUAGGCAAGUUUUUUUUUAAAGAUUUUAUUUUUUUCCUUUUUCUCCCCAAAGCCCCCCGGUACAUAGUUGUGUAUUCUUCGUUGUGGGUUCUUCUAGUUGUGGCAUGUGGGACGCUGCCUCAGCGUGGUCUGAUGAGCAGUGCCAUGUCCGCGCCCAGGAUUCGAACUAACGAAACACUGGGCCACCUGCAGCGGAGCACGCGAACUUAACCACUUGGCCACGGGGCCAGCCCCUAGGUAACUUCAGGAUUUGUCAGAGGAUCCUUGAAACAUCUCAAAAGAUUUGUUCUUGAGCCAGCCCUGAUGGCCCAGUGGUUAAAUUCAGUGCCAUCACCACUUUGGCAGUCCAGGAUCAUUUCCAAGUCUUGGAACCACACCACCCGUCUGUCUGUGCCAUACUACAAUGGUGGCUCACACAGAAGAACUAGAAGGAUUUAUGGUUAGGAUAUACAAUCAUGUAACUGGGGCUUUGGGGAGGAAAAAAAAGGAAAGGGAGGUUGGCAACAGAUGUUAGGUCAGGGAAAAUCUUUCCCUAAAAAAAAUAAAUAAAUAAAAGAUUUGUUCUCUCUCCUUAUAAAAAAAAGGGAAAUAUUAAGCUAAUUAGGUUUAUUUGAUAUGUUAAAUUACAUGAGAACCAUUGUUAAAUAAGAAAUAACAUUAAGCCUUCUUUAUUUUGUAUCUGUAUAUGUUAUAGGAGUUUCAGAAAUUAUGUGAAAUUCCUGGAAAUCUAAUAUGUAAUGUGUAAAAUGUUGUCUGUCAUCAAAACUGAGGGUUACACUGAAUAACAGGAAAGUGCCUUAGCUGAAGUUCAUGCAAAGGCAGUAAGGACAGAAUCUGUAAUGGUUAUGACACAUGUGGAUGAAGUCCAUUCUGUUUCCUCUCACCAAAAAAAAAAAAAUUGAGCUUCACUGCCAGACUUUGGCCUUCCUGAUGUCUUUGUAACAUAGCAACAGUACGUUCUUGAAUAACAAAAAUUAAGAUGAGUAAACAGUAGUUGUCGAUUAAACAAAUAGUUGGGGCUGUAGGAAACCAAACACGGCUGCUUGAUUCUUCCCAGUUCCCCGGAAAGCCCCAUUUUUUGGCUUUUACAUUCCUUCACCCACUAAAGGAAAGACUGUUUCUGCCCCCAGAGGCCUCCGAACUCCUCGCUCUGGGCCCUUUGAGCACCUGCAGCUGGACUUCAUUCUCCUGCCACUUAGUACGGGUUAUCAAUAUGUUCUUGUUAUCGUAUGUAUGUUUUCCAGGUGGAUUGAAGCCUUCCCUUGCCACAAAGCUGAUGCCUCACAAUGGCAAAGAAGCCUGUUAGAAAAUGUGUUUCCCAUUUGGGGUAUACCUUCCACAAUCUCCAGUGAUCGAGGGACCCACUUCACUAGGCAAAUCAUAUGAGUCUCAGUGAAAACCUUGCCACCUUCUUGGAGUUAGCACUAUUCCUAUCACUCUCAAUCAUCACACAAAGUCAAAAGACCUAAAGGAAAACUAGAUUCAAGAAGAACAAGAAUUAAUACAUAGGACUGAAUGAACUGAUAAAUAUGGUUAUAAUUUUUAUGACUUUUGGUCUAAAAGAUUACUAUUUUUUAAUCCUUUGUUUUCCAGACAUAAGAAAAUUUUUUUUCUCAUAAGCCAACUAUGACUACAGCAAUUGGUAAAUUAUGUGUUUGUAAACAUAAUUGAAACAUUUAUCUUUUUCUUCCUACCUUAUUCCUCCAGGAUUCAGAAAUUUAGUGAGUAUUCUUAUUUUCAUGGCAAUAUAAUUAUUUGGAUAAGUUCAACAGAAUCUGUUCUCCUUGUAGCAGGACACAAGUGCAAACUGGUUCUAUUACCAAGGCUUUGACUUGAAUGUCAUAUUUGAGAGAGAAUGUGCAUGGACUCAGGUAUGACCAGAUAGCUUUAAGGAAUCAAGGUGGACUGUAUGGAGCAAAUAAAGCACCUUGGAAGUAUUGGCUUGGUAUCUUGCUUAUAGUGUUCCCCGCAGCCUUACCAGGUGAGUAAGGAAGGUCACUUCAUGGCAGGUGCAGGAACCUCAGGAUAUCUUGGAACAUCGAGAAGAGAAGAACUCACCCAAAUCUAUAGGUAUGGCAGGCAAGUCUGAUGGCAAGUCCUUGGCUUGGUUUCCUGGCCUCAAGAGGCCUUUAAAAGUUCAAUUGGAAAUUCCUUGUGAAAGAUUCUAGCAAAGCAGAUUUAAAUGAUCCUAUGUGAUCAAUCACUAUUCUUGCUGCACUUAAGAAAAUAACAGGGGCAAGCUUGGUGGCACAGCAGUUAAGUGCACACGUUCCACUUUGGCGGCCUGGGGUUUGCUGGUUCAGAUCCCAGGUGCGGACAUGGCACUGCUUGGCAAGCCAUGCUGUGGCAGGAGUCCCGCAUAGAAAAUAGAGGAAGAUGGGCAUGGAUGUUAGCUCAGGGCCAGUCUUCCUCAGCAAAAAAAAAAAAAAAAGAGGAGGAUGGGCAGCAGAUGUUAGCUCAGGGCUAAUCUUCCUAAAAAACAAAAUAGAAAAAGAAAAUAGACCAAGUUUCUUGAGACCAGACAUUUUACAAACAAAUUAAUUUCACUGCGAUGAUCUUUGAUAGAAAUGGAUGUGAUUUUUUUUUUUUUUUUAAGAUUUUAUUUUUUCCUUUUUCUCCCCAAAGCCCCCCGGUACAUAGUUGUGUAUUCUUCGUUGUGGGUUCUUCUAGUUGUGGCAUGUGGGACGCUGCCUCAGCGUGGUCUGAUGAGCAGUGCCAUGUCCGCGCCCAGGAUUCGAACUAACGAAACACUGGGCCGCCUGCAGCGGAGAGCGCGAACUUAACCACUCGGCCACGGGGCCAGCCCCCGAAAUGGAUGUGAUUUUAGAGAGAAGAAUUAUGUUUCAAUAAAAACAUCUUUGUGGAUAUUAGAUUCUAAUGCUGGUCAUUGUCUUUCAAGGUUUUGUUUACAAUCUGCUAACUGGACUGGAUCCUGAAUUCUUCUCCCUUCUUCCAGUCUUGGCUACAACCUUCCAAACUAACAUAUCCAAUUUUCUCUCACCUUUGGACUUGGAAUCAUUGAGAACUACAUCUGCCCUUUUUCUUUUUCUUUCUUUUUGUUUAAUUAAUUUUUGUUGUUGUUGAGGAAGAGUGGCCCUGAGCUAACAUCCAUGCCCACCUUCCUCAACUUUAUAUGUGGGAUGCCUGCCACAGCAUGGCUUAACAAGCUGUGCAUAGGUCUGCACCCGGGAUCCGAACCAGCAAACCUCAGGUCGUCAAAGUGGAACGUGCGAACUUAACCACUGCACCACCAGGCUGGCCCCUGCUCUUUUUCUUGAAUCCCUGAAAACUGAAGCCCAACAACUUGACAUAAAUUUCAGAGAAAUCAUCACAAUGGCUUGCAUAUGGACAAUCUCCAUACCUGUUGCUUCAUGGGCCACUCAGAAAGAUCAUCAGAGACACUCAAACUGAAAACUAGGAAAAUCUGUCAGAUUGCUCUUGUUUGCCCUCAUUUCAUCUGAAAAUGCUUGGAACCAGACAUCUAGAACUCUCCUCAACUGACUGCCUUCAGAAUGCAGAAACUGGGAUUAUAGUCUGCUCCAGUCACUAACCAUUGUUUUUCUGUUGUUUCCAUAGAAAUGCUUCUUAUUAAAUACCUCAUUGCUUGCACCACAGGCCUCAUGUUGGGAGCCCACCUGCAUCACUGCCUCCUGAAAUUGGACACAAGUGUUUAAUUGGACUAAACGCCCCCCUAAACUGAGAGACUGGUUCAGUGAGAUGGAGCAAUCCACCAACCCCACUUGUAGAAUGUGAAACUUCUCAUGAAAUUUCAACAGUGGGACUGAAGGGGUUCAGAACAGGCCUCCCCCGGAUGCGUCACUUUGGCAUGUGGAACGUUUUGAGCUAAAGAUCAGCCAGAAGAAUCCAGAAGGGUAC
rnacentral:lncRNA from 1 species